rnacentral:lncRNA from 1 species
GGGGAGCAGAGCACGGUAGGAACACAGAGUGACUGAUCUGUGUGGUGCAGCCAAGCCUAUGUUCACAGAGAAAACUGACAGAAAUGGAGCAGGCUAAGAAGGGGAGAGGAACACUCAGGAAAGAAGAAAAGUGGAAACAUAAUGGUGGCCAUUAAAAAAGAAAAGAAAAAAAGAAGAGAAGAGAAGCAGAAAGAAAAGAAAAAAGCUGGGUUUGGAGCAGUGGCUCUGGCCUUUAAUCCCAGGGCUUUGGGAGGCCAAGGUGGGAGGAUCAUUUGAGGCUAGGAGUUCAAGACAGCCUGGGCAACAUAGUGAGACUUCAUCGCUACACAUACAAAAAAAUUAGUCUGGCAUGGUGGCACACCUAUCAUCCCAGGAAUUCAAGGUUACAGUGAGCUAGGACCAUGCCACUGCACUCCAGCAAGACCCUGUGUCAAAAAACAAAAAAACAAAACUAAUACAUUAUGGGAAGAAAUUGUUAAGGCAUAAAGUAAUUAUACUUUUCACAUUAAUCAGUUUUCCCUUGUGUAUCUAGUUGCUCUCUCAUGGUUUGAUUUUAAAGAAAGAUAAAAUGUUGUAUACCUUUUAUCUGCUGGAUUCCCUUAAGCAUGAUCUCAUUUAAUUCUCAAAAAAUUCUAAAAGACAAGGAUCAAACUCUUGAUUUUAUGACUGAAGUUAAUUUGGGCUCAGAGAGGUCAAGUACAAAUACAAAUGACGGGACUAAGAAGGGUAAGAUAAUCUGAUUUCUCUGGCUCCAACUUAAUGCUUUUUAUUUACAAGGCUAACCUACCUCAAUAGCCUAAAUAAAUUUGUAAGUUAUACCAACUUUCAUAAGACUAGAGUUUCUGAG